rnacentral:rRNA from 1 species
AUUACCCAAUCCUGACACAGGGAGGUAGUGACAAGAAAUAAAAAGCAAGUCUCUCAGAGGCGCUGCGUUGGAAUGAGUAGAAUUUAAAUCUCUUUACGACCAUCAAUUGGAGGGCAAGUCUGGUGCCAGCAGCCGCGGUAAUUCCAGCUCCAAUAGCGUAUAUUAAAGUUGUUGCGGUUAAAAAGCUCGUAGUUGGAUUUCUGUCUAGGGUGGCCGGUACCCACUAUGUGAAGUAUCUGGUUCAGUCUGGGCAUCCUCUUGGGGAUCGUUCCUGUGCUUGAUUGCAUGGGGCGGAAUUCAAGACUUUUACUUUGAGGAAAUUAGAGUGUUCACGGCAAGCUUUCGCUUUGAAUACAUUAGCAUGGAAUAAUGAUAUAGGGCAUAAGUUCUAUUUUGUUGGUUUCUAGAACAUAUGCAAUGAUUAAUAGGGAUAAUUGGGGGCACUCGUAUUAACGCGUCAGAGGUGGAAUUCUUAGAUUGCGUUACGACGAACUACUGCGAAAGCAUUUGCCAAGGAUGUUUUCAUUGAUCAAGAACGAAAGUAUGGGGAUCGAAGACGAUUAGAUACCGUCAUAGUCUAUACCAUAAACUAUGCCAACUAGAGAUUGGAGGUCGUUUUUUUUAUGACUCCUUCAGCGCCUUAUGAGAAAUCAAAGUUUUUGGGUUCCGGGGGGAGUAU